UGCGAGGAGGAGGAGGAGGGGGGGGGAGGUUCGUGUUUCAUGGCGUUCGGCGUCGGGGUUUCUUUAAUAUUCGCGCGGAGCGAAUGCCGUGGAGAGAGAUCAAAGCCAUAAAACCUUGGGCCGAAUCUGCAGAAGCUGCUACUCGACCCUUUGAUGUUCCUAUCUUUUCUGGAUCUGAGGUUGUAGAUAGGCUUAAAGCAUUCCAACAAAACAGAACUAGCGAGCAAAACUACAUGGCCAUGUACUCUAGUGUAUUGGAUGGAAUCACUACUGAUCCUGCGGCUAUGGUGAUACCAAUGGAUGAUCACAUGGUCCACAGGGGGCAUGGGGUUUUUGAUACGGCUGCUAUAUUGGAUGGACACCUCUAUGAGUUAGAACAACAUUUAGAUCGUUUCCUAAGGUCUGCAUCGAUGGCCAAAAUCCGUCUACCAUUUGAUCGCUCAACAAUAAGAAGCAUGCUUAUCCAAACAGUGAGUGCCUCAAAAUGUAGCCUAGGAUCAUUAAGGUAUUGGCUCUCUGCAGGGCCAGGCGAUUUCCAAUUAUCUCCAUCAGACUGUCCAAAUCCUGCUCUUUAUGCUGUUGUCGUUGAAGCUAAGUCUCUACCCACCCCAAAGGGUUGUAAAGUAAUUACAUCAACAGUCCCCAUGAAGUCUCGUCAAUUCGCAGUUAUGAAGAACGUGAAUUAUUUACCAAAUGCCCUCUCGAAAAUGGAAGCUGAAGAACAUGGGGCUUUUGCAGGUAUUUGGUUAGACGAUGAAGGGUUUGUUGCGGAAGGACCUAAUAUGAAUGCGGGCUUUGUGACGAGAACUAAGGAACUUAUUAUGCCUUACUUCGACAAAAUUUUAAGCGGUUGCACGGCGAAACGGGUGAUGGUUCUUGGUCAAAAGCUCGUAGAAGAUGGGAGACUUGGUGGGAUAAAAUUAGGGAAUGUGACUGUUCAAGAAGGGAAAAUGGCUGAUGAGAUGAUGCUAAUUGGGAGUGGGAUCGUUGUGAAGCCAGUUUUGCAAUGGGAUGAUCAGAUAAUUGGUUCUGGACAAGAAGGCCCCAUAGCUCAAGCUCUCUUCGAUCUCAUUAUUGAGGACAUGAGAUCCGGUCCAUCGACGGUUCGAACACCAGUCCCUUACUGAACCCGGCCUCUUCUUACAGGAAUUUCCAUUGACAACUGGUGAUGCAGCUUUUACCCUCUCAGCUGCCAAAGUUGUUCUUGUUUGGUUUACGGAGAACAAGCACCGAAAAUAAAAAGGUCUGAUGGAAUUUGUUGGACUGAUCUGCCGGUUUCUGUGGUGUUAGAAUUUAGAUGCUGGACGUUUGUCAGUAGAUGCCCAUAGCGGAAUUCUUUUGAACUCCUACACAAGGUUAAUUGUUUGAUUGAAGUUCGAUGAUUAUUUUGGGUUUAGUACAGUUUUUCUCUUAAAAUUAUUGUUUUUUUUUAAAAAACUAGAUAGUUAUUGUUGAUAAAGAAAGAAAAAGUCAUGGCUAUAGCAAUGAUUUUAUCACAAAAAGUUCAGGAGUCAGUUGCAAAAUGGCCCCCAGGGCCUUCACAGGUUUAUAAAGGGCCUCUUGAAUAUAAAAAGAGCAUACUUCAACUUAUUCCAAUAUAGUUUAGCGUAUUUUUACUUUGCAAUCUUGUGACUCAAAAAAUUGUAUUUUAUUACUAUGUAAUUUAGCGUGUUUUUAUUUGUCAUCUUGCUAUUGAAAAAGUUACACUUAAUUA